UACAGAGGUCUCAAGCGUUGUUCGGAUUCACUGGGCGUAAAGGGUGCGUAGGCGGUCGGGUAAGUCUGUCGUGAAAUCUCCGAGCCCAACUCGGAAACUGCGUCGGAUACUAUUCGGCUAGAGGAAUGGAGGGGAGACUGGAAUUCUCGGUGUAGCAGUGAAAUGCGUAGAUAUCGAGAGGAACACCAGUGGCGAAGGCGAGUCUCUGGACAUUUCCUGACGCUGAGGCACGAAAGCCAGGGGAGCAAACGGG
rnacentral:rRNA from 1 species